AGAGUUUGAUCCCUGGCUCAGAGUGAACGCUGGCGGUAGGCCUAACACAUGCAAGUCGAACGGCAGCACAGAGGAGCUUGCUCCCUUGGGUGGCGAGUGGCGGACGGGUGAGGAAUACAUCGGAAUCUACUUUUUCGUGGGGGAUAACGUAGGGAAACUUACGCUAAUACCGCAUACGACCUACGGGUGAAAGCAGGGGACCUUCGGGCCUUGCGCGAUUGAAUGAGCCGAUGUCGGAUUAGCUAGUUGGCGGGGUAAAGGCCCACCAAGGCGACGAUCCGUAGCUGGUCUGAGAGGAUGAUCAGCCACACUGGAACUGAGACACGGUCCAGACUCCCUACGGGAGGCAGCAGUGGGGAAUAUUGGACAAUGGGCGCAAGCCUGAUCCAGCCAUACCGCGUGGGUGAAGAAGGCCUUCGGGUUGUAAAGCCCUUUUGUUGGGAAAGAAAUACCAGCCGGCUAAUACCUGGUUGGGAUGACGGUACCCAAAGAAUAAGCACNGGCNACUAACGGUUACAUAAAA
rnacentral:rRNA from 1 species